CUCUUUGUGCUGUUUCACCAGGGAACCAAUCCACUCCAUGGUUUUCUGCUUGGCUUCCUCCCAGCUGAAGAGCGGCUUAUACCCCAGAUCCCGCUGAGCUUUCUUAUAGGAGAAGCCUCCCUGGGAUACUAUACCCUUCAGAUUGACAUUCAUGAUGGUCUCUCGGUGAAGGACAUUCAUGACGUCAAUGACAGAGGCAGUGUGAAUGACAACCGAGAUGCCCUGGCAAGCUCUCUUCAGGCACUGCUCAUCCAGAAUGUCUCCUUCCACCAUCAUCAAAUUGGUCUUGCUCUGGAGCUCUGUGUGAACACAAGGCAGGUCACUGGAAGGUUUUCUGGAUCUGAAAGUUUCCUGAUAAAGGGAGCGUUUUCCCAGGUCUUCAAGCACAGGUAUCAGUGCCGAAAAUAAGUCAGCCACCAAGGGACUAACAUUCUGGCCAUUGAGCCAAGGGCAGUGGAUUCAACCUCAGGGACAUCACCUUCUUGGAAAUUCACAGGAAGGGGCACUUCAGGCUGGCUCCGAUCAACCUAUUAGUUUGCAGGGGUGCGGAGAGACCAGAAGAGGGCGCUGCCGAUGUGUGGGUGGUCGAGGCGCAGCUCCCGCCUUCCUCAAGGCUCUGCGGACUCCUGCAUUCUGCACAGCCCGAACUCUCCCUUGCUUACACGGUGUGGGCUGCCUUGUAGGGAGGCCCUGAGAGAAGCUACUAGACGAAUUAGUGGCUAAGAGCACAGCCGCUGCACUUAGACCUUCGGGGUUCAGUUCCAGCGUUGCCAUUUUUCAGCGGGGGGACCUUGAACAAGUUAGCCUUUGCUAUGGUCUGCGAGUUUGUGUCCUGCCAAAUUCAUGCGUCGAAAUCCUAAUGCCGGUGUGAUGCUGUCAGGAGAUGGGGCCUUCUCUCGAGAAGGGUCUCGAGGGUUUGACCUCAUGAGGGGGUCAUCGAAAAGAGAUCCCAGAGAGAGCCCUCUACAGCAAGAAGACACAGGCUCUGAACGCCGAGGGAGCUCUCACCAGAACAUGACUCUGCUUUGCUCUUGGACUUCUGCCCCCAGAGCUGUGAGAAAUAAAAUAUCUAACGGGUUGAAGCCACCCAGCCUGGGGGAUCUUUUUGUAGCAGCCUUAGCAGACUAAGACACCCUUCUGUGCCUGCUUUCUUGUUUAAAAAGAGGAGGAUAACAUUACCUAUCCUCCAGGGAUGGUACCAGGAGCAAAUGAAUCGACCUGCGUAGAACACGGAGCGCAAUGCCUAGUGUAGACAGACCGCUGUGAGGAUUCUCCAUUGGGAUCUGUAGAGAGCCCCCUGCCCGCCCCGGAUGCAGCCUGACUGGUCACACCAGGGAACUGUCUUCUGGUUGAACCUUGCCUUUCCCCGCAUGGGCUGUCAGACUGUGAGUAUUACUGAGAAGAAAAGAUCGCAAACAAGUGGUGCUGAUCGUGUAUGUUCAUAUGUGUUCAUCAGAGGCCCCGUUGAAGCAAAGGGUAGAGGAAAUAGGACAUGUGAGAUGUUCAGAGCACAGGAAUGAGGAAGAGAAGAGUGAUGGGUACAGUCCUGGAGGGCGGCGGGGGGUGUGGGAGGUUGUGUGUGGAGAGGUAGGGUCUUCCGCGCACCCUGGGCCUGCAUGUUGACACCCAGUCCACAGGGGCUGGGAAGGGGAGGGGCUGCUUUGGGGGAUACACAGUGGGGAAAUGGGAGAGACUGAAGACUCCCUUUGCCAAGAGGCAGCCUUAGAGCCAUAUGACGGGGACAUCCGUGAUGAGGCUCUCUCUACUCUGAGCCCUGCAGUCCAUUAAUCAGAGUGCCUCGGCAAGUUGCUUUACCUUCAUAUACCUUGAUUUCCUCAACACCCUGUUGGGGGAGAGCCCCUUCCUACCUUCCUCAAAGGGCUGUUUCAAGGAUUUGGGGGUGAAACAGGUUUUUAGAAGUCUAGGUUGGCAUUAGCACCGGGGCAGCAGU